UAUNGGAGGGGNNUAAACUGCAGUCGAGCGGUAGAGAGANGNUUGCUUCUCUUGAGAGCGGCGGAGGGGUGAGUAAUGCCUAGGAAUCUGCCUGGUAGUGGGGGAUAACGUUCGGAANCGGACGCUAAUACCGCAUACGUCCUACGGGAGAAAGCNGGGGACCUUCAGGCCUUGCCCUAUCANAUGAGCCUAGGUCGGAUUAGCUAGUUGGUGAGGUAAUGGCUCANCAACGCGACGAUCCNUAACUGGUCUGAGAGGAUGAUCAUUCACACUGGAACUGAAACACGGUCCAGACUCCUACGGGAGGCAGCAGUGGGGAAUAUUGGACAAUGGGCGAAAGCCUGAUCCAGCCAUGCCCCGUGUGUGANGAAGGUCUUCGGAUUGUAAAGCACUUUAAGUUGGGAGGAAGGGUACUGAUCUAAUACNUGAGUAUUUUGACGUUACCGAUACAAUAAGCACCNGCUAACUCUGUGCCAGCACCCGCGGUAAUACAAAGGGUGCAAGCGUUAAUCCUAAUUACAGGGCGUAAACCGCGCGUCCCUCGUUCGUUAAC
rnacentral:rRNA from 1 species